UCUCACUGUUGGUGUGUGUGUGUGUGUGUGUGUGUCCAUGAGAGCACAGAGAGAAGACCAUAUGAGGACACAGCAAGAAAGUAGCCAACCACAAAUCAGGAGGAGAGGUCUCACUAGAACCCAAACCUGUGAAACCUUCAUCUUGGACUUCCAGCCUCCAAAACUGGGUCUCUGGUCCUGAUGAUGUGCAAUGGUCAAGAAGGAGAAGUCCAUGGUGUCGCCAUAAGAAGGGUCCCCUCCCAGGCUACCAGGAUCUCUCCAGCCUUCACAACUUCCAGGGGAUGGGGAGAAAGCAGACAUGGCUGAUCACGACUGUUCUAUACCUUCAAUUAUAAUUUCAGGCUUGACUGAAAAGUCUUAAACAUAAUUUGAAGCUUUGAAUAUAAUAAUAAUUUGACCUUGAAGCUUAAAUAAAUGUAAUACCAGUAAAUGUAAAACCAGUAAAAUGGUUUUUACUUUUCUAAGUCCUCCUUCCAAGCAUUAAUGCAGAUGUCCUUGUUGAGAUGCAUUUGAUGUCACAGGAAACGAGUGAACCUACAUGCCUACUUCAAACUCAGGUGUGCCUGCACAUCCCACAUCGUGCUCUGCUUGGUUGCUGGGACUGCCAGAAGAGUCUCUAGAGAAGAUAACAUGUCCUGAAAACUUCACAACUUCACUGAGGUCUCCAUUCUCCAGAACACGUAUGACAGAGUCCAACUGGCCCAACUCAAUGGACGCUCCUGAUACACCCACUGUAAGAUACACCCACUUCUGUGAAGAUGGAAGGAGAGUGUAUCAGUGAGUGGUGAAUAAAGCCCGAUGCCAAACAUAAUCCAAUGUCCCAAAACAUCAUAAAGAGGCCAUAUUUUCCAUUUGAGGAAUAUGAAUUUACUCAACUAUGAAACUUGACUUUUGUGAUAUUUUAUGAAAGAAAUGAUUAAAGUAAUCUCUCUCACAUCAUUUUACAAUACAAUGACAGAUAGAGUGGUGGACUAACAAGAAUCAUGGUUCAUUGACAUUGGAAUAUUUCAUCUUCUCAUGGUCAUAAUUUCCUAGAGCAAUAUGUUCAUAAUGCUUUCCAUCAGUACAAGUCUUUGAACA